AUUGAACGCUGGCGGCAGGCCUAACACAUGCAAGUCGAGCGGGGUUUUCGGACCUAGCGGCGGACGGGUGAGUAAUGCGUAGGAAGCUACCCGAUAGAGGGGGAUACCAGUUGGAAACGACUGUUAAUACCGCAUAAUGUCUACGGACCAAAGUGUGGGACCUUCGGGCCACAUGCUAUCGGAUGCGCCUACGUGGGAUUAGCUAGUUGGUGAGGUAAUGGCUCACCAAGGCGACGAUCUCUAGCUGGUUUGAGAGGAUGAUCAGCCACACUGGAACUGAGACACGGUCCAGACUCCUACGGGAGGCAGCAGUGGGGAAUAUUGGACAAUGGGCGCAAGCCUGAUCCAGCCAUGCCGCGUGUGUGAAGAAGGCCUUCGGGUUGUAAAGCACUUUCAGUAGGGAGGAAGCGUUGAGUGUUAAUAGUACUCAGCGUUGACGUUACCUACAGAAGAAGCACCGGCUAACUCUGUGCCAGCCGCCGCAGUAAGAC
rnacentral:rRNA from 1 species